GUGGGGAAUAUUGGACAAUGGGCGAAAGCCUGAUCCAGCCAUGCCGCGUGUGUGAAGAAGGUCUUCGGAUUGUAAAGCACUUUAAGUUGGGAGGAAGGGCAGUAAGUUAAUACCUUGCUGUUUUGACGUUACCGACAGAAUAAGCACCGGCUAACUUCGUGCCAGCAGCCGCGGUAAUACGAAGGGUGCAAGCGUUAAUCGGAAUUACUGGGCGUAAAGCGCGCGUAGGUGGUUUUGUAAGUUGGAGGUGAAAUCCCCGGGCUCAACCUGGGAACUGCCUCCAAAACUGCAUGACUAGAGGACGGUAGAGGGUAGUGGAAUUUCCUGUGUAGCGGUGAAAUGCGUAGAUAUAGGAAGGAACACCAGUGGCGAAGGCGACUACCUGGACUGAUACUGACACUGAGGUGCGAAAGCGUGGGGAGCAAACAGGAUUAGAAACCCGGGUAGUCC
rnacentral:rRNA from 1 species